CGGACCUGUAAAAAGCACAUGAGAGUUGGUGCCUGUCAGCGUCAAAUAUUUGCAGUGAUAAUUUUUGCUUUAUUUUAGUGCUUCCCGGCGGUACAGCGAAUCCUCCUUCACGUCAAAUUUAAGAGUGGGCGGGUGGCACCAAUUAACAGGUGGAGACUGAUUAAGGGUCACUCACCUGUGGAAGAACUGUUCACCUGUAACCUGACAUGCUGAUUAAGGGCCGCGGGAGGAGAGUGUGAGCGAGCAGUGACAAGGACGGAUCCCCACACGGCCUGGCAGCGAGGUGAG